GCAACCGUGGGGUAGUGGUUAUCAUGGCUGGCUUCCAAGCAGUCGAUUCGGGUUCGACGUCCGACGGUCGCA
rnacentral:tRNA from 1 species